CGCGUAGGUGGUCCGAUAAGUCGGAGGUGAAAUCCCUCGGCUCAACCGAGGACCCGCGUCCGAUACUGUUGGACUUGAGUGCAGGAGAGGAGAGCGGAAUUCCCAGUGUAGCGGUGAAAUGCGUAGAUAUUGGGAGGAACACCGGUGGCGAAGGCGGCUCUCUGGACUGCUACUGACACUGAGGCGCGAAAGCUAGGGGAGCAAACG
rnacentral:rRNA from 1 species